GUUCUUGUAGUUGAGGUACAACAGCAGUUUUUCAGACUGCAAGUCUUGGAGAAAGGCCAAGCAAGAAUU
rnacentral:tRNA from 1 species